UACGUAGGGUGCAAGCAUUAAUCGGAUUUAUUGGGCGUAAAGGGGGCGCAGGCUGCAAAGCAAGUCGAAUGUGAAAUCCCGGGGCUCAACCUCGGACCCGCAUUCGAAACUACUUUACUAGAGGAUAGGCGGAGAAAACGGAACUCCACAUGUAGCGGUGAAAUGCGUAGAUAUGUGGAAGAACACCGGUGGCGAAAGCGGUUUUCUAGCUUAUUCCUGACGCUCAUGCCCGAAAGCUAGGGGAGCAAACAGG
rnacentral:rRNA from 1 species